UAAUAUAGAACUCCUAUAAUUUGAAGUGCCUUAAGAUUUUGGGACUUUGUGCUGUUUUUGUUUUUUAACAUUCUAUUUUUUUGUUAUUUAUUUUUUAAUACAGCCUGUCAGAUAUUCAGGUUUAAGGGUUUUAAAGCCACUAUUGGCUACAGAAACCAAUAAAGAAUCAUAACAUCCUUCUUUUUUUUUUUUACUUUAGAAUGAGACAAAUCUCCAAUAAUAAUAAUGCUAUGUACAUACUGUAUGUCUGAUGUUGCUCUUUUAGAAGAUAGUUAAGUUGUUACACCAUUAAGUUUGUACACCAGCUACAACAGAUGCAUGGAAAAAAUAUAAGCAAAAACAAUGUAACUGUCUUAAAUUGCUUCAUUUACUACAAAAUCUGUAUUUUACAUUGGGACUGUUCCAUACUGCUUAAAAAAAUAUUUAUGACUUUGUGUCUUCAUCCAUUAUAAACUGCCAAAUUAAAUUAUGGAAAGGAAGAAAAAUUACCUUGACGCAGCAGUGGAACUGGAAGGAACAUGAGGUAGAUAUGUGCAUUAUCUUUAUGAUUGAUCUCUUCUACAUUGUAUUGUGUAUCCAAAACUGUACUUAUAUAACUUGCAUCUAAAAACAGUCAACUUUACAUUUUAAUGCACAGGUUGUCUGUGUGUUCUCUAAUUCAUGAUUGGUCUGAAAUGACUUUUAGGAAUGAAAUGUCUGUUCUGUGAGGGGUAAUGUCUAAUGGUGCUCCUAAAUUUCAUGCUGAAAUGUAAUUAAGGCCAGUUCACACUGGACGCACAUUACAACCUCAUUCAAUAAUCAAAUAUGUAAAAAAAAUAAAAUAAAACUAACAAUGACUUGGUUUCUGAACGCUUAAUUCGAUUAGAGCUUAAUUCGAGUAUGACCUUAAUUAGAUUAAGGUAAUUAAAAAUUGCUGUUUACAUGGUAGUUUCUUAAUCAAAGUAUGGUCUUAAUCUGGUUAAUUGUGGAUUAUUGUUGUCCAUGUAAACGCAGCUAAUGACUUGGUUUCUGAACGCUUAGUUGUGAAUAGUUCAGCUUCUUGCAAUACCAAAAUAAUAAUCACAACACUGCAAUGAAAUGUCCGAUAAACUGAAUUUUUGAAACCCAGUGAAAAUAUUAAUAUUAAUAGUAAUAUUUCUGUGAAGCCAGUGUUUAUUUCUUCCCUUGUAUUCCCUUCACGUAACUAACACUAGUCAGUAAUAUUCAUCAUUGAUCCUAACAGCCAUUUUCAGGCUUAUGCUUUCAUUGUUUAGGAUCUACAUACCACAAAGGCGUACUAUUAUAAUACUGACAAACACUGACCGAAUACAUUCAAACAACUUUGAAACCACAAAAAGUUAACCAUUUUCAUGUUUUGGCCAUAAUCAUACAAUAUCUUUCACAAUUUAUUAUUUUUUCAGAUUUCAAGAUUACAAAAUAAAAAUUGAGAGUCACAUAUAAUGAAAGUUUUAGGACUGUAACAGUUUAACUGGACUGUUUAUCAUCCAAGGCUGAGCCCAGAUUCUUCUCCAUCAAAUAACAUACUUCUAAAUAGACUCUUUACAUUUAUUUUUUGUUAUGUUUUGUUUUGUUUUUUGCAUGUGAGGGCUAAUUGCUUAAAAAAAUAAAAUCAUAAAACUUGCCUUGGGUGUUAUCAUGUUUGCAGGACUACCACUAGUUUGGUGUCGCUAGCCAAGGGGAGACACAACUAAGCUAUCAUUGUAUGGGUUUAGCUGCUACAGUACCAUGUAAAACUGUGUGAGCUAGUGUUUGGCAGAAUUGAGAGCCGUCAACCAAGAAGACAUGAGUAUUUCCACGUGUUUUCCUGUAAACCCUGUCUGAUUGGUCUUGCCUCUGUUCACUGAAGAUAAAAUACAACACUCUGUUCACUGAAGAUUUCAGUUCAGCAUUCAACACAAUCAUUCCUCAGCACCUGAUUGGAAAGCUGAACCUGUUGGCUCGAACAGCUACCUCUGCAACUGGAUCCUGGACUUCCUGACUGGGAGACCUCACUCAGUCUGGAUUGGGAACAGCAUUUCCAGCACCACCACACUGAGCACGGGGCCCCCAGAUCUGUGUGCUCAGUCCACUGCUGUUUACUCCACAGACUCACGACUGUGCAGCAAUGCACAGCUCGAAAUAUAUAAUAUAGUUUGUAUAUUAUGUAAGCAACUAAAAUUGGUUGUGACAGGUCUAGGUCAAAGGUCAUAAUCAUCAUAAUUAAAUAUAAUGAAGGUGACAGGUCAAAGGGUGAUCAUUGUCAAUUAUAAUUAUAUUAAAUCCGGUUUCGAUGUAUUCCGGAUGUAUUCCAGACACACACACAAGUUGUUUCCUUUACCAUAGAUUGUGAAACACUCAUGAGUUAGGCCUAGGACAAAAAAAGGUCAAUGAUAAUUACUGAUGCA